rnacentral:lncRNA from 1 species
AAUACAUUUCAAAGCUAAUCUUUGUGCUACGACAUGGAUGAAACUUGAAAAUACUAUGCUAAGUGAAAUAAGACACAAAAGGACAAAUACUGUGUUGAAAGAGAACUGAUGGAUGGGAAAGCAGUCGGCUCCACCUCUAUGCUUAGAGGUCAAGCUCUUAGAGGGGUUGAACUGAUCCAUUCUCUCAGACUCCACUGGGAUCCAUUUUACCCUAAACCAGAAUACACGUUGGGAAGAACAUGACCAGUUGAUACCUGAAUAGGCACAAAAGUUACAUAGAGGGGAGG